UCCUACUUGUAAAGUUCUCGGUUGGUGACAGUGAGUCCACUUCUCUCUCACUCUGACGGGCGGGACCUUGCAGGAAAGCGGCACCGAGCAUCCCAAGCGGUCGUGUCUCCUGCGCCUGCCACCCUCCGGCCUCCCCCAAUCCCCUUUCUGCUGGCUCCGAUAUGUGCAAAAUUCAAAUCUGCCGUGCAGCACCGCCGUAGGCCAUCUCCCAUCCAGGGAUGGUCAUUCUGUUUUGAACCGAAAUUUUGGUUAGAAGCAGACGAUGGCUGAGGUCGUGGGCCGCCGGUGGCCGGUGGUGCGUCCUCCGUUGCUCGGAUUCUCCCGCCGUCGAGGGCAGCGAGCGGCCGGCGCGAACGUGCUCCGUUGCUCGCUUUCUCGCGCCGCGUCGAGGGCGGCGGGCUCCGGUCGUCGACGUUGAGGGCGUACGGGAGUCGCGAGGGACUGGGCGUGGCGGCGUACGUGGGCGUCGUAGGCACUGGGCGUGGGUGCCUGGGUGGACGUGGCGGCGUCGGCAGAGAAAUGAGGGGACGCUGCGCUGUCCGAGGCUAGGUGACGUUAAGUUGGGCCGCUGGGCGCUGUGUAGCAUGCUGAGUAACUGGUGCGAUUAAUGGCCUGUUGCAAACUUGUUUAUGCCAACAAGGUGUUCGGUGAAAUCUGAAGAAGGAUAUAGAUGUGAAUGAAAAGGGGGAAGACAGUGCGCGGUCUGAAGAAAUAUAUGAGACUUGGAUUGUGUGAUCUCCAGUAUUUAUCGUUGCUUAUUUAACAACGGUACACUUGGUUUUCUCUCAUGGAAAAUACAUAUUUUACAGUUGGCAAAAAGAUUUCUUGAUAUUUAAUUGUGCAA